AGCUCAACCUACUAAUCCAUCUAAUCGUCCUAUCCCUAACCCAAUCGAGGAUCGAUAUGGUGAUAGGCAUUUUAGAAGGAUUGGAUCAAAUGUGUCAUCCUAUAUAGGUUUGGUGUCUGACACACUCAAGAUCACUAUUCCAAACGCCGUGGUUUAUUGUCAGGUCAGAGAAGCAAAACUAUCAUUGCUAAGCUAUUUCUUCACACAAACUGGGAAAAAAGAGAUGUCUUCAGUUUUGGUGUGGUACUUCUUGAGCUUAUCAGUGGUCGACAUCCUAUUCAUAAAACGCGUACCAAAUGGACAGAGAAGAGCAUCUUGUAUGGUGUUUCUUUGUCAGCUAUCAGCAAAAGUUUGGCCCUGAUCGAUCCAGAAGUAUCUAAAACUCAAAAGCUUAGAUGCUGGGUAUAAAGCAUGGUGCUCUUGCUAAAGUGAAUGAUCCUAAAGUGAAGCAAUUUAUAGAGAAGCAAUUUAUAGAGAUGUUUUUGAAGUAGAAUUCAGUUUUGAAGGAAUGGCUGACACUGAAAUUGUGUCUUUGUCGGUGUUUGUGUUCGAAAGCGAUACCGAAAUUAUGAUCACUUUUGGUGCCACUACAAAUAUGGUGAGUUGUAAAUUGGUUGUAGGUUUUAGAAGUUAGUUAUGGUGAGUUGUAAAUUCUGUUAGAGGUUGUUAUUGAAGUUGUUAGAAGUUAGUAGUAGUAUUAACUGUCAGGCUAAUUGAGUAAGACUGUUAAACGGCAGCCAAGAUAGUUUUUGUUGUUGUUGUUGUUGUAUUGACACACUCCAGCAUGUUAUCGACUAAUUUUGUUAUAUUGUAAAAACUAACCGACAUGCAUGUUAUGAUAAUUUUGGAGCAGUAAUGGUGGUGAAGAUAAGCAAAUGGGAUGAUAAUGUUAUGAAACUAUUAAACAAAUUUCUACAAUUUAUCAAUUACAGCACAAGUGUAAUGAAGAGAAUGAAGAUUUAUCUUCAGUUUUUUUACUAAUGUUUCUUUUUG